rnacentral:rRNA from 1 species
GUGGCGAACGGGUGAGUAACACGUGAGCAAUCUGCCCUUGACUCUGGGAUAACUGCGGGNAACUGUAGCUAAUACCGGAUACUUUCCUCGCUGGGCAUCCAGCGGGGAAGAAAGAAUUUCGGUCAAGGAUGAGCUCGCGGCCUAUCAGCUAGUUGGUGAGGUAAUGGCUCACCAAGGCGACGACGGGUAGCCGGCCUGAGAGGGUGACCGGCCACACUGGAACUGAGACACGGUCCAGACUCCUACGGGAGGCAGCAGUGGGGAAUAUUGCACAAUGGGCGAAAGCCUGAUGCAGCAACGCCGCGUGAGGGAUGAAGGCCUUCGGGUUGUAAACCUCUUUUAGCAGGGAAGAAGCGAAAGUGACGGUACCUGCAGAAAAAGCACCGGCUAACUACGUGCCAGCAGCCGCGGUAAUACGUAGGGUGCAAGCGUUGUCCGGAAUUAUUGGGCGUAAAGAGCUCGUAGGCGGUUUGUCACGUCUGCUGUGAAAAUCCGAGGCUCAACCUCGGACUUGCAGUGGGUACGGGCAGGCUAGAGUGCGGUAGGGGAGAAGGGAAUUCCUGGUGUAGCGGUGGAAUGCGCAGAUAUCAGGAGGAACACCAAUGGCGAAGGCACUUCUCUGGGCCGUAACUGACGCUGAGGAGCGAAAGCGUGGGGAGCGAACAGGAUUAGAUACCCUGGUAGUCCAC